GACGAACGCUGGCGGCGUGCCUAAUACAUGCAAGUAGAACGCUGAAGAGAGGAGCUUGCUCUUCUUGGAUGAGUUGCGAACGGGUGAGUAACGCGUAGGUAACCUGCCUUGUAGCGGGGGAUAACUAGUGGAAACGAUAGCUAAUACCGCAUAACAAUGGAUGACACAUGUCAUUUAUUUGAAAGGGGCAAUUGCUCCACUACAAGAUGGACCUGCGUUGUAUUAGCUAGUAGGUGAGGUAAUGGCUCACCUAGGCGACGAUACAUAGCCGACCUGAGAGGGUGAUCGGCCACACUGGGACUGAGACACGGCCCAGACUCCUACGGGAGGCAGCAGUAGGGAAUCUUCGGCAAUGGGGGCAACCCUGACCGAGCAACGCCGCGUGAGUGAAGAAGGUUUUCGGAUCGUAAAGCUCUGUUGUAAGUGAAGAACGGGUGUGAGAGUGGAAAGUUCACACUGUGACGGUAGCUUACCAGAAAGGGACGGCUAACUACGUG
rnacentral:rRNA from 1 species